GUCCACGCCGUAAACGAUGGAUACUCGCUGGUGGCGAUAGACGGUCACUGGCUUAGCGAAAGCGUUAAGUAUCCCACCUGGGGAGUACGCUCGCAAGAGUGAAACUCAAAAGAAUUGACGGGGGCCCGCACAAGUGGUGGAGCAUGUGGUUUAAUUCGAUGAUACGCGAGGAACCUUACCUAGGCUAGAAUGCGCGUGACCGCGCCAGAGAUGGCGCUUUCCUUCGGGACACAAAGCAAGGUGCUGCAUGGCCGUCGU
rnacentral:rRNA from 1 species